AGCAGCCGCGGUAAUUCCAGCUCCAAUAGCGUAUAUUAAAGUUGUUGCAGUUAAAAAGCUCGUAGUUGAAUUUCGGGGUCAGUAGGUCGGUCGUGCCACUGGUAUGAACUGGUCUCACUGAUUCCUCCCUCUUGUAGAACCGUGAUGCCAUUAAUUUGGUGUUGCGGGGAAACAGGACUGUUACUUUGAAAAAAUUAGAGUGUUUAAAGCAAGCUAACGCUUGAAUACAUUAGCAUGGAAUAAUGAAAUAGGACGUCGAUCUUAUUUUGUUGGUUUCUAGGGUUGACGUAAUGAUUAAUAGGGAUAGUUGGGGGCAUUAGUAUUCAAUUGUCAGAGGUGAAAUUCUUGGAUUUAUUGAAGACUAACUACUGCGAAAGCAUUUGCCAAGGAUGUUUUCAUUAAUCAAGAACGAAAGUUAGGGGAUCGAAGACGAUCAGAUACCGUCGUAGU
rnacentral:rRNA from 1 species